AUUGAACGCUGGCGGCAUGCCUUACACAUGCAAGCCGAACGGCAGCACGGGGGCAACCCUGGUGGCGAGUGGCGAACGGGUGAGUAAUACAUCGGAACGUGCCCAGUAGUGGGGGAUAGCCCGGCGAAAGCCGGAUUAAUACCGCAUACGACCUACGGGUGAAAGCGGGGGAUCGCAAGACCUCGCGCUAUCGGAGCGGCCGAUGUCAGAUUAGGUUGUUGGUGAGGUAAAGGCUCACCAAGCCGACGAUCUGUAGCUGGUCUGAGAGGACGACCAGCCACACUGGGACUGAGACACGGCCCAGACUCCUACGGGAGGCAGCAGUGGGGAAUUUUGGACAAUGGGGGCAACCCUGAUCCAGCCAUGCCGCGUGCGGGAAGAAGGCCUUCGGGUUGUAAACCGCUUUUGUCAGGGAAGAAAUCUUCUGGGCUAAUACCCUGGGAGGAUGACGGUACCUGAAGAAUAAGCACCGGCUAACUACGUGCCAGCCGCCGCGGUAACAC
rnacentral:rRNA from 1 species